GACGAACGCUGGCGGCAUGCCUAACACAUGCAAGUCGAGCGAGCAGAUCCCUUCGGGGUGAAGCUAGCGGCGGACGGGUGAGUAACACGUGGGCAACCUGCCUCAUAGAGGGGAAUAGCCUUCCGAAAGGAAGAUUAAUACCGCAUAAGAUUGUAGCUUCGCAUGAAGCAGCAAUUCACGGAGCAAUCCGCUAUGAGAUGGGCCCGCGGCGGAUUAGCUAGUUGGUGAGGUAACGGCGCACCAAGGCGACGAUGCGUAGCCGGCCUGAGAGGGUGAUCGGCCAGAUUGGGACUGAGACACGGCCCAGACUCCUACGGGAGGCAGCAGUGGGGAAUAUUGCACAAUGGGGGAAACCCUGAUGCAGCAAUGCCGCGUGAGUGAUGACGGCCUUCGGGUUGUAAAGCUCUGUCUUCGGGGACGAUAAUGACGGUACCCGAGGAGGAAGCCACGGCUAACUACGUGCCAGCCGCCGCCGUAA
rnacentral:rRNA from 1 species